rnacentral:rRNA from 1 species
AAUCUUCCACAAUGGACGAAAGUCUGAUGGAGCAACGCCGCGUGAGCGAAGAAGGUUUUCGGAUCGUAAAGCUCUGUUGUGAGGGAAGAACAAGUACAGGAGUAACUGUCUGUACCUUGACGGUACCUCAUUAGAAAGCCACGGCUAACUACGUGCCCGCAGCCGAGGUACUACGUAGGUGGCAAUCGUUGUCCGGCAUUAUUGGGCGUAAAGGGCGCGCAGGCGGCCUUUUAAGUCUGAUGUGAAAGCCCCCGGCUUAACCGUGGAAGGUCAUUGGAAACUGAGAGGCUUGAGUACAGAAGGGGAAAGCGGAAUUCCACGUGUAGCGGUGAAAUGCGUAGAGAUGUGGAGGAACACCAGUGGCGAAGGCGGCUUUCUGGUCUGUAACUGACGCUGAGGCGCGAAAGCGUGGGGAGCAAACA